UUAGAUAUUGUUUAAUCUAAAGAGAAAAAAAAUUAUGUUCCAAUUUCACAUGACCAUAACUAAUGAAAUGACAGAGAAAUAUGUCUCUUUAUAUUCCCAACUAUAUCAACAAAUACAAAAUAAAUGAAUUAAUUAAAUGGGAAAUUAAUACAAUACCACAAAUGAUUAAAACCCCAUAAAUCCCCCGCAGUUCUCAUGGAUAAAAAAACUUCCAUGCCACAGAUGGUCUGAGAUUCCCCUCUUUACAUAAGCAAGGCGGCAGCGAAAACACCAACGGCCACAAAUCCUGGGACGGAGAAUCUAUUCGAAACGGCGCCGUUCGGUGCAAGAGCUUCCGAGGGGGAUCCCAACACCGAAGUAGAGGGAGAGGUGGCCGGCGAAGACGAUGGUGGAGUAGGUGGAGAGUCUGCGACGGGAGGGUCAUUAAAACAUCAACGGCUGAGCACCCCAUCCCUCAAAUAACACUAUUUGAGGGAUCCCUCAACUGAAGGGGACUAUAUAUAUAACUGUACCGUCUAAAUAUUGUUGAAUAUAAUCUAAAUUAUUUAGACUAUGUUGAAUGGGAGUUGGCU
rnacentral:lncRNA from 1 species